GCGGGAGUGGCAGAGCGGUCAAAUGCGAUAGACUCAAGAUCUAUUGACUUAGUGUCUUCGGAGGUUCGAAUCCUCUCUCCCGCA
rnacentral:tRNA from 1 species